CCCAGUUCAAGAAGAAAGAGGGAGGCUAAUGGAGGUGGUAGUGCUGCAGACCCAGUGAUGGUUUCAAGAGGACCAAUUUAUAUAACAAACAAGGCAAGUCAGGAUUCAGAAGUGUCCAGUCUAUCAAGUGGUAGCGACACAAGCCACCUGGCAGAGUCCCAGACAGGAAUCAUUGUUGGCAUCAUCACUGCUGUCAUUCUAGGAUUUGGUCUUCUCGCUAUAAGUUUCAUGCUGUAUAAAAUGUAUUACCGCCGUCGCUCUCAGAUAAGUGACCUGAAAGGAAAGAAUGAUGCUUACACCAAACAAGCACCAUAAUAAUUAUAUGGAAAUAAAAAUUAAU